rnacentral:rRNA from 1 species
AUACGGAGGAUCCGAGCGUUAUCCGGAUUUAUUGGGUUUAAAGGGUGCGCAGGCGGCCAUUUAAGUCAGCGGUUAAAUCGUGGGGCUCAACCCCAUUCUGCCGUUGAUACUGGGUGGCUUGAUUGCGGUCGAGGUUGGCGGAAUUCGUUGUGUAGCGGUUAAAUGCAUAGAUAUGACGAAGAACACCGAUUGCGUAGGCAGCUGACCAGACCGCAAAUGACGCUCAUGCACGAAAGUGCGGGGAUCGAACAGGAUUAGAUACCCUGGUAGUCCGCACAGUAAACGAUGAAUACUUGUUUUCGGCGAUAUAAUGUCGGAGGCAAAGCGAAAGCGAUAAGUAUUCCACCUGGGGAGUACGCCGGCAACGGUGAAACUUAAAGGAAUUGACGGGG